AGAGUUUGAUCCUGGCUCAGAUUGAACGCUGGCGGCAGGCCUAACACAUGCAAGUCGAACGGUAACAGGAAGAAGCUUGCUUCUUUGCUGACGAGUUGCGAACGGGUGGGUAACGCGUAGGUAACCUGCCUGGUAGCGGGGGAUAACUAUUGGAAACGAUAGCUAAUACCGCAUAACAGUAGAUGUUGCAUGACAUUUGCUUAAAAGGUGCAAUUGCAUCACUACCAGAUGGACCUGCGUUGUAUUAGCUAGUUGGUGGGGUAACGGCUCACCAAGGCGACGAUACAUAGCCGA
rnacentral:rRNA from 1 species